CAGUAGCCGCGGUAAUACGGAGGGAGCUAGCGUUGUUCGGAAUUACUGGGCGUAAAGCGCACGUAGGCGGCUCUGUAAGUCAGAGGUGAAAGCCUGGAGCUCAACUCCAGAACUGCCUUUGAGACUGCAUCGCUUGAAUCCAGGAGAGGUGAGUGGAAUUCCGAGUGUAGAGGUGAAAUUCGUAGAUAUUCGGAAGAACACCAGUGGCGAAGGCGGCUCACUGGACUGGUAUUGACGCUGAGGUGCGAAAGCGUGGGGAGCAAACAGGAUUAGAGACCCGCGUAGUCCCUGUCUCUUAUAA
rnacentral:rRNA from 1 species